rnacentral:tRNA from 8 species
GCGGGCGUAGUUUAGUGGUAAAACCUUAGCCUUCCAAGCUAAUGAUACGAGUUCGAUUCUCGUCGCCCGCU